CCGCGGUAAUACGUAGGGUGCGAGCGUUAAUCGGAAUUACUGGGCGUAAAGCGGGCGCAGACGGUUACUUAAGCAGGAUGUGAAAUCCCCGGGCUCAACCCGGGAACUGCGUUCUGAACUGGGUGACUCGAGUGUGUCAGAGGGAGGUAGAAUUCCACGUGUAGCAGUGAAAUGUGUAGAGAUGUGGAGGAAUACCGAUGGCGAAGGCAGCCUCCUGGGACAACACUGACGUUCAUGCCCGAAGGCGUGG
rnacentral:rRNA from 1 species